rnacentral:rRNA from 1 species
CCCUUAGAUGUUCUAGGCUGCACACGUGCUACACUGGCAGGUUCAGCGAGCUUCAUGCCCUGAUCUGAAAGGAAUGGGAAAUCUUUUCAAAACCUGCCGUGCUUGGGAUAGAUGUUUGCAAUUAUUCAUCUUCAACGAGGAUUGCCUUGUAAGCGCACGUCAUCAGCGUGCAUUGAAUACGACCCUGUAUUCUGUACACACCGCCCGUCGCUCCUACCGAUUGAAGUUUUCGGUGAGUUGACAGGAGGAUUUUUUUGAAACUGGUUCGCCAGUGGAUUUUAGAUCCAAAUGCCAACGAAUCGAUGGCUUUAGAGGAAGGAGAAGUCGUAACA